UCUGUGCUUAUCGUGAGAGCUGAGGUAUCAUGGACUGCUGCUAACUUUAUGGCUUUUUUUGCCUCCAGAGUUCAUGUUGUGACUGACAGCCUUCCUCUAUGGACUGAGUAGCUCACUUGCUAUGUUUGCUAUCUAAUCCCUUUUAGAUAUACCUUUUGUGACAGCACUUUGUAAAGAGUCUACAUUAAUAUUCUCAUGGGGUGUAUAGAAGAGCACUGAAGAGACCGCCUCUGGGAGGAUAUAGGGACCCUAUCCAAGGUCAUGUCUGGAUUCCACAAUAUACUGCAAGUCAGUGUAAUGGUAGCUUAUUUAUCUUUUUUGAUAUAAACAUUAUUUCUCCCAAAAGACCAUCCUGGUACCACUCUGCACUUCUGAGACAUUUUAACAGUUGGCAGGAUUUCAUUUCUAAACCUUUUGACUUUCCUUUCCUGGCAGACAGUAGGCUUUCUAUUGAAGACUCCUCAUUAAGGCCAUAGAGGUUCUGAAUCUCAGAAAAAAUAAAUGUUUCUUCUUUGAGUCUACAACUGAGUGAAUGGGACAACACUCAGGCAACAGCAAACUGAGUGCAUUCAUAAUUCAACUUCUUAAGAUAAGCCUUUCUUCCCUGGACUGACUUCUGUUCACUGUGCAUGGGAACUGUUGGGUUCUGCCUCCCAGGUGCCCCGGUACCGUGCAGGCUGGCAGAUCAGCUGCUCCGACACGCAGUGGGACCCAGCUCUGUACAGCACCACCAAGUUGUGUGUUCACUGAAAACUGGAUACAAUCUGAGCAGGUCUAAAGCUAGAGGUAAUGGACCUUUUAAAGCCAUUGCCUUUCAAGCAAUAAAAAUAAUAAAAGUCCACAUAACUGCCAAGAUGACAUCAUGAACAAGGAAGCAUACAGAUGGGUUUAAAUGAAUGCAUUCAACAGGAGGAACUAUGUUUUCUUAUGAUCAAGAUUUAGUGAGCAAAUUAUAGAAAAGCAUAAGAAUAAACAGUUAUGCCACUCUGGGAUUGUUAAGCAUUCUAAGUGGCUGGUUAGGUACGAAACGCUACAUUUUUUUGCAGACUAUUAUUAAACAAAUAUUUUCUACAUAUAAUAAAGAACUUAGGUAGCCUCAACCCCAGGUUUCCUGGACUCAUCAAUAUCUCCUGUCAGAACUGUGCUACAUUAUUAAUGAUUUUAUUAUGCAAGGGUUAAUAUGCCUGUCCAUCUGCGAAACUUGUGAUGAAUUUUCAGUAAUUCCUCUAUUACUUACCAAAGUAUCACAUUUUAUUCAUGAGUCCUAAGUGUUCGGUUUGAACUUCUUCAAAUAUUUUUGGGAAGUUAAUCUAAUUGUAUCAAUAUCUGAGGAUUGUUACUAACUGUUUUCUGAUGUAGUUGACAAAAAUUGAUUUAAUGUUCUGAGUUGUUCUCUGGAAGAAAAAAACAGGAACGGAAUAUUUUAAUAAUUCAUAUUAACAAAUCUCAGUUGUACUAUGAAGUAAUAUAUGAUGAAUAUUGAUAGAUGUUCUGUUUAUUUUUUUGGAUGAUGUCACUGGCUGCAAAUGAAUGUGUCCGACUCCUAUAGCUGUUACAGACAGCAGGGGUAGUGAAUUUAUCACCUUAAAUUCUCUAUGAAGGCAAAGUGGAAAAGCAAUUUAACUCUGUGAUACCAGAGCAGAAGCUACUGCAGAAGGACCUUGGGAAAGCCUGAGGAGACACUUUUCCA